UGGCUCAGGACGAACGCUGGCGGCGUGCUUCAUACAUGCAAGUCGAACGAGAAGUUACCUUCGGGUAAUGGAAAGUGGCGGACGGGUGAGUAAUGUGUAGAGAAUCUGCCCUAGAGUGGGGGACAACAGUUGGAAACGACUGCUAAUACCGCAUAUGCGCGUAGCUGAGAUGCUAUUCGUGAAAACUAAGGUGCUCUGGGAUGAGUCUGCAUCUGAUUAGCUAGUUGGCGGUGUAAUGGACCACCAAGGCGACGAUCAGUAGCUGGUUUGAGAGGAUGAUCAGCCACAAUGGGACUGAGACACGGCCCAUACUCCUACGGGAGGCAGCAGUAGGGAAUUUUGCGCAAUGGGGGAAACCCUGAACCGCAGCAACGCCGCGUGAUUGAAUAAGCCCUUCGGGGUGUAAAGAUCUGUCAGUGGGGACGAAACUUGACGGUACCCACAGAGGAAGCAUCGGCUAACUCCGUGCCAGCCGCCGC
rnacentral:rRNA from 1 species